GGGCUGCAGUAAGGAAUAUUGGGCAAUGGACGCAAGUCUGACCCAGCCAUGCCGCGUGCAGGAUGACAGCCCUACGGGUUGUAAACUGCUUUUGUACGGGAAAAAUUCCCUGGUCGUGAACCGGGGUUGAUGGUACCGUAAGAAUAAGCAUCGGCUAACUCCGUGCCAGCAGCCGCGGUAAUACGGAGGAUGCAAGCGUUAUCCGGAUUCAUUGGGUUUAAAGGGUGCGCAGGCGGAAUGAUAAGUCAGUGGUGAAAUCCUACAGCUCAACUGUAGAACUGCCAUUGAUACUGUUGUUCUUGAGUACAUUUGUAGUGGGCGGAAUGUGUCAUGUAGCGGUGAAAUGCUUAGAGAUGACACAGAACACCGAUCGCGAAGGCAGCUCACUAAACUGUAACUGACGCUCAGGCACGAAAGCGUGGGGAUCAAACAGGAUUAGAUACCCGUGUAGUC
rnacentral:rRNA from 1 species